GCGGACUCUAAAGGUACUAUAGUGAGAGGAAAUUGUAUUGUUUGUAUAUUUUUCGGAUUUAUUUAGUCGGGUUUGUGGAGAAUUACGUCAAGUUGCAAAGCUGUCAGUAGGUACGUCGAGCAUAACCAAAAAUUGUAUGUGAUAUUGAAUAAUAAACGGUCAAAUUGAUAGUUCAAUUACUCUGAAAUUGUAUUAUGAGUAAUUAGAAUUCACAUACUUCAAUUUGAAGGAGAAUUUGAUUGUAUGAGACAUGGAGUUCGCUGAAAAGAAAAAUAAAAGCAAAGUCUGUUGCUGUGUGCCUGGCUGUCACAACAUAUCGCGUCGCGAUCCCACAAUUCGAUUUUACCAUUUUCCUCGUGAAAAGGUCAGUUUUGUGAAGAUAAUUAAUAAAUUUAAUGAAGAGAAAAUGAUCGAUCGACGAACUGCUUGGAUACGAGCACUGCGAAUGGGAAAGAAAGUGACUCCUUCCAUGAGAGUAUGUUCUCACCAUUUUAUUGAAGACGAUUUUAUAUUACCACAGAAUGGCAAACGUGACAACAGAGUGAAAACCUAUCUGAAGAAGACAAGUAUUCCCUCACUCAACCUGCCACAUCCAUCUACCUCAAAAACUUUAAAUUCUGAAGAAAAAAGUCAUGAUGGUGCUCGAGAAGAGAGCAGACGUAGAUCACCCAAAAGCAGUGGCCUAUUGCUAGUAAUGAUGAGGAAGUGUCCAAACCAAUAAGUGAUAACGAGAAAGUCAAUGGAAAUUUGAACGAUGCGGAGGAGAAAGACGCGGUGAAUCAGAGGGGAACUUGAUGGAGAACAAUGAAUCUAUCGACGAAUGUGCUCCAGAAGCAUGGCCCAUAGUUCCUCCUUAAAGAGUUCAGGCACAUAGGAAUACAAUUUGGAAAUAGGAAUCCAAGUCCAAAGUGAUCUAAUGAUGCCAACAUUUAUACGUUUUAUCGUAGAGGAUCAUGAGCCAAGUACGCUAACGGGAACUAGCAGUUUUAAAUUGUUACUCUGAUGAAUCAAACCCAGAGUUAACUCUGGGUUAACUCUGGCUUCAUGGAAAUUUCCCAGAGUUUCUCUCUUUCUUCGCUGGGUUUUUUCCAUAAACCCAGAGUUGACCCAGAGUUAACUCUAGAAAAGCUAAUGAGAAUCGUGAAAGCAGCACCAAAUACGAUAAUCAGAUUAAAUUUGAGAGAAGCAAUUAUAAUGACUUUUAUGAAAUUGAAACAAAACUCGUUUAAUGCAACAUUGUCGAUCCUGUUUCACUGUUGCAAGCCUGGCGCUUGCAAACUGAGAAUUUUAAAAUGUUAGAUAUUCUUAAUAUUUGUUUAAAACCGAGUAUAUUUUGGCCAAGCAAAGAUAUAAUAUUUUAAAUAAAAUGUCUUUGUGCUUCAAGGGGCUAGAAGAAAUUUGAACAGUCGUUGAUUGCACGGAAAUUAAAAUCCAAAGGCCAUCAAAAUUAUAUAGUCGGUUACUAACAUAUUCAUAUUAUAAAACCGCUUAUACUAUCAAAUUAAUUGAAGAGCAGUGUUUAAAUUAAGAACAUUUAUAUCAAAAGACUGAACGAGAAAUCAUAGAACACUCUAGGUGUGUCGUCUUACAUGUCUCAUCUUCAUGUUUUAUGUUUAAAAACAGAUUAUAAAAAAAAGGAAAAGAAAAAAAUUAAAUUUGAAAUAAAUUGAGAUUUGAAUAGAAUGAUUAAUAAGAUCGCAACUAAAAUAAAUCUUCCAACUGAGGAUCCUAUAGUUAAACAGUCAAGACAAGAAGUUAUGGAUAUUGACCAUAGCAGAAAAUUUAAUUUAUAUGAUUAUUGUAUGGAUAUGAGAAAAAAUAGAAAUGGGAAAGACGAUUCGGCUCAUUUAUUAUUUAUGUGUUUGAUGAAGACAGGGAGAAACACCUUGGAAACUUACAUGAAAUGAUCAUUGUCAGAGAAUUCAGAAAAGUAGGAAGUUUUAUUUGUCAACUAAAGAAAUUGGAUAAGGACAAGGUCAUGGUUAGUUGUGUUUCUGUUGAGGCAGUAAAUAGACUGGUGGAAUCAGAGAUAAAUAAAAUUAAAAUGAAUUGGAUUGCAGUGGUGCUUGACAGUGUUAUCAAAAGUAUAGGUAGUAUAAUUCAGUAGUGAACUGGUAAACGGAGAUAAGUCGACUUAUCUCCCAGUUGAGUUUUUGAGAAAUAU